GACGAACGCUGGCGGCGUGCUUAACACAUGCAAGUCGAACGAAGAGCGAUGGAAGCUUGCUUCUAUCAAUCUUAGUGGCGAACGGGUGAGUAACGCGUAAUCAACCUGCUCUUCAGAGGGGGACAACAGUUGGAAACGACUGCUAAUACCGCAUACGCUCUAAUCUCGGCAUCGAGGAUAGAUGAACGGUGGCCUCUACAUGUAAGCUAUCACUGCAGGCGGGGAUUGCGUCUGGUUAGCUAGAUGGAGGGGUAACGGCCCACCAAUGCGAUGCUCAGUAGCCGGUCUGAGUGGAUGAGCGGCCACAUUGGGAAUGGGACGCGGGCCAGACUCCGACGGGAGGCAGCAGGGGGGAAUCUUCCGCGAUAGACGAAAGUCUGACAGAGCAACGCCGCGUGAGUGAUGACGGCCUUCGGGUUGGAAAGCUCUGUUAAUCGGGACGAAAGGCCUUCUUGCGAAUAGUGAGAAGGAUUGACGGUACCGGAAUAGAAAGCCACGGCUAACUACGUG
rnacentral:rRNA from 1 species